rnacentral:pre_miRNA from 1 species
UCAAUACAUGUUUACAAACAAGAGUUAUUGUGCGUUGGGCAUUAUUCAUUAAUUAUUAUUAUGACCAGCGCACAAUAACUUUUGUUUGUAAACAUGUUUU